AUUGAACGCUGGCGGCAGGCCUAACACAUGCAAGUCGAGCGGAUGAGUGGAGCUUGCUCCAUGAUUCAGCGGCGGACGGGUGAGUAAUGCCUAGGAAUCUGCCUGGUAGUGGGGGACAACGUUUCGAAAGGAACGCUAAUACCGCAUACGUCCUACGGGAGAAAGCAGGGGACCUUCGGGCCUUGCGCUAUCAGAUGAGCCUAGGUCGGUUUAGCUAGUUGGUGGGGUAAAGGCCUACCAAGGCGACGAUCCGUAACUGGUCUGAGAGGAUGAUCAGGCACACUGGAACUGAGACAGGGUCCAGACUCCUACGGCAGGAAGCAGUGGGGAUUAUUGGACAAUGGGCGCAAGCCUGAUCCAGCCAUGCCGCGAGUGUGAAGAAGGUCUUCGGAUUGUAAAGCACUUUAAGUUGGGAGGAAGGGCAGUAAGUUAAUACCUUGCUGUUUUGACGUUACCAACAGAAUAAGCACCGGCUAACUUCGUGCCAGCCGCCGCCGUAACAC
rnacentral:rRNA from 1 species